CCGUCGGUGUUAACUGGCAUGUCCUGUGGAACGUCCUGCCGGUGGCGGUCCGGGCUUUCGGCUAGCGUAAAGGCUUUGCCCGAAGCUGGUCGAUUAGUUCCGGCCGCCGGUCCAAUCCCGCCACGGUGCUCUUCACCGAGUGUCGAGGUGGGCCGGCACGUUUACUUUGAACAAAUUAGAGUGCUUAAAGCAGGCUGGUGUCCGCCUGAAUACUGUGUGCAUGGAAUAAUGGAAUAGGACCUCGGUUCUAUUUUGUUGGUUUUCGGAACCCGAGGUAAUGAUUAAUAGGGACAGGCGGGGGCAUUCGUAUUGCGACGUUAGAGGUGAAAUUCUUGGAUCGUCGCAAGACGAACCUAAGCGAAAGCAUUUGCCAAGUAUGUUCUCGUUAAUCAAGAACGAAAGUUAGAGGCUCGAAGGCGAUCAGAUACCGCCCUAGUUCUAACCAUAAACGAUGCCAGCCAGCGAUCCGCCGAAGUUCCUCCGAUGACUCGGCGGGCAGCUUCCGGGAAACCAAAGCUUUUGGGUUCCGGGGGAAGUAUGGUUGCAAAGCUGAAACUUAAAGGAAUUGACGGAAGGGCACCACCAGGAGUGGAGCCUGCGGCUUAAUUUGACUCAACACGGGAAACCUCACCAGGCCCGGACACCGGAAGGAUUGACAGAUUGAGAGCUCUUUCUUGAUUCGGUGGGUGGUGGUGCAUGGCCGUUCUUAGUUGGUGGAGCGAUUUGUCUGGUUAAUUCCGAUAACGAACGAGACUCUAGCCUGCUAACUAGGCGAUUUCCGGUACCCACAAUAGUGUUACCGGCGAUUCAAUUUCUUCUUAGAGGGACAGGCGGCUCCUAGCCGCACGAGACUGAGCAAUAACAGGUCUGUGAUGCCCUUAGAUGUCCUGGGCCGCACGCGCGCUACACUGAAGGAAUCAGCGUGUCUUCCCUGGCCGACAGGCCCGGGUAACCCGUUGAACCUCCUUCGUGCUAGGGAUUGGGGCUUGCAAUUGUUCCCCAUGAACGAGGAAUUCCCAGUAAGCGCGAGUCAUAAGCUCGCGUUGAUUACGUCCCUGCCCUUUGUACACACCGCCCGUCGCUACUACCGAUUGAAUGAUUUAGUGAGGUCUUCGGACUGGUGCGCGGCGAUCGGCUCGUCCGGUCGCCGAUGUUGCCGGAA
rnacentral:rRNA from 1 species